UCCAUAGUCUAUAAAGCAUAUUGUUUGGCAUGUAAGAGCAACUAUAUAGACUCCUAUAUUUUCUUGAACUUGGAUUCAGUUAUUUAGAAUAUAUAAAUGUAUUUUUUGUCCUCUGGUUGAGUUUUGCAGAUUGAUCUAGACUUACUGAUCUGUCACAAAACCUAGGAUUGGAAACACAAUGCUUCUACCAAAUCCGAGCUUCCUUCCCCUGCCUAUGCAUUCUUUCACUCUUAAUUGAUGUGGUUAUCAGAGUAGUGAUGUUCUAUGGGGGGAACGGGCUACUUCUUUUGACGGUGAAAGUGUGCUCAAAUGUGCUGAAAAGGGGACCUGUUGUAGCCAUCUUUGUUGGCACUUUGGUUAAACUGUUAGAAGAAUGUAAAGGCAGGAGUGGGAUCACAUUCUAGACUCCAGACAGUGUACCAAUUAGCCUCAGGUGUGUAAA